rnacentral:snoRNA from 1 species
ACAGUAGGAUGUCUGUCUGUCACAGUAACACUCCAGGCGCUGCAAUCAUCUUGACAUGGCGAUACAGUUGCCAGGGGACAAGGUA